UACGUAGGGUGCGAGCGUUGUCCGGAAUUAUUGGGCGUAAAGGGCUCGUAGGCGGUCUGUCACGUCGGGAGUGAAAACUCAGGGCUUAACCCUGAGCCUGCUUCCGAUACGGGCAGACUAGAGGUAUGCAGGGGAGAACGGAAUUCCUGGUGUAGCGGUGAAAUGCGCAGAUAUCGGGAGGAACACCGGUGGCGAAGGCGGGUCUCUGGGCCGAAAUUGACGCUGAGGAGCGAAAGCGUGGGGAGCAAACAGG
rnacentral:rRNA from 1 species